GUAAACAUUUUAGGCCACAUUUAUAAAUUUUAAAAACAUUUGAAACAAAUUUAAAAUUUUAAAAAUAAGGACCAAUUUGCAAUUUUUUGCUACAUCACCGUCUGUUUCCUUGAUAAUUUGAUAAAAUUGUUUAGUUUUUGGACGCAAACGCCAAAAUCGCAACCCAAAAGCAGUGUGCCACCACAAUCGUUUCAUCCCCGAAUCGAAGAAUUUCCCAACAUAGCAAAACCGUUUCAGCAGCAAGGAUCUACUUAAUAACUUAUUUCACUUUUUCCAUCUCUUUCAUUUCAGGUGACCAUUCUCACUCUUUUUUUUAGUUUUAUAUAUUGCACGUAAACUGUUUGACAAAAUGUUCUUCAUGGUUGUUUCUCACAAAAUGAAAAUAUAUAUAUAUACUGUUUGACUAUUGGGUGUGAAAAGCUUUAAUGUGUUCAUGAUUUCUUUUUUGAAGUCUUAAUGUUUCACCAAGGCUAUGUUUGGCAAAUAAUAACCGAAAACUGAUAAACUAGCUUAUAGCAGAUGAACUUAUAGCAAAUAACUUAUAAACAAGUUUAUAGCUUAUGGUAGAUAAACUAGCUGAUUGAACUUGUAGUGUUUGGUAAAAUUAGCAGCGGUUAAACUAGCUUAUAAAUAUGAAAUCACAUGAAAAAUAUGUUUAAUUAAUAGUUUUUUUUUUCAAUUAAGAUGACAAGAGUAAAAUUAAGAGAAAAAUGAUAAGCUAAAAGCGGGGAUCCGGCAGAUUGGCUGAGUAAUCCAGGAAAGAAGAGGAAGAUAGAGAAGGAGUGGAGCUCUGGUUUUCAAUUGGAGAAAUCGGAGAAGGGAAUCGUGAAACUUAAAAUAGCGGUGAUAAACCAGAUCUCAAUUUGUGGAGUCCUGACCAUCCUGUGAAUUGGAUGGAGAAUUUUGUUUUCUUAAUCAUUACAAGAAUCAAUGAUUACAACUAGUACAACUUAUGUAAUGAGCUGAUUGAAUUGCAGUAGUAACUGAUUCUGAACUAAUUCACCAACUAAACUAACUGAUAUUAAUAGUCGUGGAAUCAAAUAUAUAAAGGAAUUGAUGAUCCUUAUAGUGUGAAAGUUUCUUUGUCUUUUCUUUGCGUCUUUGCUCCUUUUUGGGAGGAAGGCUGUACACUCCUUUUUUUCCUUGGAAUCCUUCUUUGUUCUCUCUAAUUGAAUUUCUUUCAUCCUAGUGUGCAUAUGUGUGAGAAAGAGAGAGAGGAGGGAACACUCGCCUCCCAAUUUUUAGGUUCCUAAUUUUCUUUCUUUUGUAACAAAGUUCCUAAAUUAUGUUCUAUUUUAAAUAUGUCAUCCCUUGCAGUAAUAGAUUGUGGAUAUUCAUAGAAAAAGAAUGAGAACCGAAGUCUUCCAAACAGCUAACAUCUAUCGCCAUCUU
rnacentral:lncRNA from 1 species